AAUAAGGAGGAUAAACAGAAACCCAAAGCCCAAGGACGGGUGUUUGCUAUGACUCAUCGAGAUGCUCAGGCCACUUCUGAUGUGGUGACAGGUACUCUUAGUUCGGGUGAGGAGUGAUGGCUAGGCUGAAGAAUGGUCAUCAUUAGGAUUUGACUUAGGAUUUUAUGUUGGAUUUUGUUUAACUGUUAGUUAUGUUCAUUUGGAUCAUUUGAUAUUUGGAAGUUAUUUGGAAAUUGAAUUUUGAGGAAUUUAGAUUUUGUUCCGCUACUCUGAACAGGUAUUUGGUAAUUGGUAACAUCUAGUUACAAUA